UAUAAAUUGGAAAGCUUUCAUUGGAAAGCUGAAAGUGUCAUCCCUACUGAUCCUUGGAAAGUAUUCUUACGUAAUUGUGUGCUUCUGCGAUUUAGCGAUUUAAAAACAAUAAUAAAUCUAAAUAUAGAGCUCUAUCAUCUUGGAAUAUGUGCCAAAAGCAAUAAAGUCAAAUAAUAUCAUCGAAAACAAUGGAGUUAGCAAUGGAUCUUGCGCUAAAUUGUGUAAUUAGCUGAAGCCAUUAUUGGAAGCCAUUGCAUGUUGUGUGUAUGUGUGUGUGGAGCACCCGCCGCUGGCUAUGUAAAUAAAUAUGUAAUUUUACAUGCGUAGAGAGGAGUAAUUGUGCACUAUUUUUUCGUGCAACAGAAGUUUUCCGUUUUCCGACUUACCAUUUUCGCGCUGCCAAUAAUUGAUGGCCUUCGGCGAUGCCUCGACAUUGCAAAUUAAUGUGACAUCCGUGAGGACUGGGGCGCCGACCAAUUGAUUUGGCACUUGGACGAGCGGAUGAACUGCAAAAGGAACCAAACAAAAAACGAGACCAAAAGCCAGAUGAAAAAACCAGAGAAGAAGUGGAAAAUCAAAAGGUAUUGUUUUCAGUGCACAGGACACUCCAUUUGUCUGCGCUGACUUUUCCCCGACUUCAAAAUGGAAAUGGCAACAAGGACGAGCCAGGACCAGGGCAGGAGCAGGGCGAACAAGGACGUUAAGAUGUUUAUGGCUUGUCAAGGAUUAUUGUUAUCGCCAGCUAGCCAGAUGGGAAAUUACAAUGCAUUGUUGUGCCCUUAUCCCAAAGGACAUGGGGACGAGGACGAGGACAAGGACGAAGCCAAAAGCCAGUAAACAGUAAACAGUCGAUGGUAAACCGUAAACAACAAACAACAUCAUCUCACAUUUGAAACAGAUGACAGCCCAGGAACACAUAAUUAAAGGCCUCCCCGGAGGAGAGACCUUUCCGCUUUCCGCUUUUGGUGGCUUUUUGGGGGCUUCUGGUUCUGGUUCGGAUUCGAACAAAAAAAAAAAAAAAUAACCAAAAUCGGGUAAUUUUAAUCUGAAAUCCGGUUUCGGGAAUCAGGACCCUUUUCUGAAAAUUACAGCCUAAUAUUGUAGAGACUUUGUUCACAUGAGCAUGUCGGCUUAUUUUGCUAAUCGCAGUUGUCCCCCCCCCCCCAAAAAGGGCUCAUUAAAAUUAAAAUUAUAAUUAAAAGGCAGAGUCCUGAAACUAGAAUGGAAUGAAAGGUGAUUCGGGACUUCGGGUAUUCCACAAAAUAUUCAACAGAAUCUCAGCAAGGAUCUACAAUAGAUGGACCAAGACCGAGACUAUUGAUGCAUUACGUGUGUGUGAAAAAAGCAAGGUGUACAAUUAAAAUAUAUUUGUAUUUCAAUACAGGAUAUAGUGUCAGAGAGAGAGAGAAAAAACUUAUCGAUAUAAUCGAGGACUAGGCCAGUGCGAGACCUGAGCGAGGCUAGAAGGACCAAACUGGAUCAGCAUUUUUAUUUUUAAGUGACUUUGUAUUGAAUUUCUAUGUAAACUUAUUGUAUUGUUUUGGUUUUUUUUGGAGGCUAUGUCCCAAAAGGGCGGACUCCAAAUAUAUUCUCUCCUCCGUUUGGUGUUUUCUUUCCGCGCGACUGUAUGCAGCUCAAGAAGAAAUUUUCAUAUUAAUAUUUUUUUUAGACCUGAAUUACCAUUCUGGCACCUACAGUCGCGCGCAGAAUUUUUUAAACGAAA